UGCUUUAUUUUUCUGCUGCUUCAUUCUUUACAGAACGCAAGAAAAAAAAGAAAAAAUAAAGGGAAACCCCCCUUCUCUGAUAGGGUUCCAAGAUUGAAACCCCGCCGCCGCUAUGCCUCCGUUGUCCGGUGAUCGGAGCCGUGCGAAGACGGCUCCUAUCGGCGCCUUGAAACGCGCUCAUGGGACGAGGCCAUGGAACGAAGAGACGAGGGGAAAGAGAGGAACUUCGACCCCUCCUUGAACCCAUAUCCGGCGACGGUGAAUCACCAUCGACGGCGGGCCUAGGGGCCGAUUCAGGUGUCAGACGCGUGGACGACCGGUGGUAGGCGAGCCUUGGGCGGUGGCGGCGUGCGAGGAGGUGGAACGGCGCGCAUUGCUGGAGCCUGGGCAUGCGGCGCUGGGGCUUAGGGUUUCCUUUGAUGGCUGAAGAGCCUUUAAGUUUUGUGGGCUAUAAUUGUUUGGGUUUAUUUUUUGUAAUUAGACUGUUGGGCCCGGGCAGAUUUUGGGCUUUACAAUGAUGAUGUUACAAUUGAGCACCAAGCUCACUGAAAUACUUGUUAGUAUUGUCCAGAAUGAAUUGAAAGGACAUUUCCAUGGAUCUUAGACCUCAUAUCUAUCUUUCAAAAUUUUGAGAGCAGAUUCAAGGUUUUAUUAUCCAGUAGAAAUGUCAGUAUGAAAUACCCAAAAUGCCAACUAAUAAUGGCAGACAUCAAAGAAAAAAGCUAAAAGAAAAAGUAAUAAAAGAUUGGAUUUCUUCCUAGUAAUUCUGCCUUUGUGGAACCUUCCACGGAAUUUUGCCUGUUUUUAUCUUAACUUUCUUCUUCUUUUUGGCUGUUGUACCCACAACAUUCUUUCUUCUUCACUGUUUUUAAUUUCUUUUGUUGUCCAUGGUUUAUCACAAAAUUUCAAGCAUCCAGUCAAGCAGCUAGCUUUGUAAGACAGUCAACUUCACUGCAUCAUUUUCAGUUCUAUUCUCUCAACACUUUUCAGCCACUAAGUCAGGGACAUAGCAAUGGAGUACGUAGAGCCUGUUGCUGCCAUUGCAAAUUGUCUCGGAAGUCCUGUUUGUAAAUAUUUGCAAUAUCACAGAAAGCUGAACGAUUAUGUGAGAAACUUCAAGAGGAUCAGAGAUAAAUUGAAUUGCAAAAUGGAAGAUAUAGAGCUGCAAUUGAAAGCAGAGCUUCUUCGUCCUCUGGGGAAGAUACCGAAGAAGGGAGUUGAAAAUUGGUUGAAAGAUGUGAAAGAGAUGAUUAGGGAAACACAAGUUGUUGAAAACAAAGUCAGUAAUGGGAGAUAUCUCUGUCGUGCUUGCAACGGGAAGCUGGUUGAUAAAAAGUCUCGACAAAUGCAGGAAUAUCUUGAUAAAACUCCUAAAGCCUCUGAAGGUCUUGCCGUGGAUGGUCCAAGUUCUGGGUUGCCACUGGAAACAUCAGAACUAGUUGGAGAGGAAGCUGUCAGAAAAGAGAUUUGGGCAUGUUUGAUGCAGGAGGAGGUAAGCAAGAUUGGGGUUUGGGGGAUGGGCGGCGUGGGUAAAUCGACCAUCAUGAAGCACAUCCACAAUGAUCUUUUGAAAGAACAACGAUUUGAAAGGGUGGUUUGGGUUACUAUAUCAAAGGAGUUUAAUAUUGUGAAGUUACAAAAUGAUAUUGCAAGUGCAUUGAAUGGAAAGAUGCCCGAAGAAGCAAACAAGGUCAGACGAGCAGCAAUCUUGUCCGAAAUGCUGAAGAGAGCAGGAAAACAUGUUCUAAUCCUAGAUGAUGUGUGGAGUGAAGUCUCAUUGGAAGAAAUUGGGAUCCCUAAGCCAAGUUGCAGCAAUGGGUACAAGUUGGUGUUGACAACCCGUGUGGAGCAAGUUUGUAAGUCUAUGGGCUGUAAGGUGAUAAAAGUGAAGCCCCUUUCAGAAGAAGAGGCAUUGAUACUAUUCUUGAGUGAAGUUGGACCUAACAUAGUGCAAAAUCAAACUUUAAUGCCAACUUUGAAGCUUGUUGUCAAGGAAUGUGCAGGUCUGCCUCUUACAAUUGUCGUCAUAGCUGGUACAUUGAGAGGAGAAGAUGACCCUCUUAUUUGGAAAAACACACUCAGGGAAUUGAAAGAGAGAAUAGGGAAAGUGAAAGAAGGGGAAGAUAAAGUGAUCGAGAGUUUGAAAGUUAGCUUCAAUCACUUAAAAGACGAGAAAAUGAAGCAUUGUUUCUUACAUUCCUCAUUAUAUCCUGAAGAUUUUCAAAUUGGGAAGGAUGGGCUAAUUGAGUGCUGGAUUGAAGAGGGAUUCAUAGAUGAUAUGAGUACAAGAAAAGAAAUGAAAGAUAAGGGCCAUGUUAUUUUGAAGAAAUUAGAAGAUAAUUGCUUGUUGGAAAAUGUCUCGAGUGAAAGAGUAAAAAUGCAUGAUGCAGUGAGAGACAUGGCAUUGUCGAUCACAAGAAUGAAUCCUCGAUGUAUGAUACAAGCAGGUUCGCAAUUAGAAGAGUUUCCAGAAAAGGUGCAGUGGAGUCCGGAUAUUGAGAAAGUGUCACUUAUGUAUAACUCCAUAUCAGAAAUUUCCAUAGAUGUGCUGCCCACAAAAUGUCAACUGCUCACAACCUUGUUAUUGCAGCAUAACCCUAUAAAGAAGAUCCCAUAUUCUUUCUUCAUAAACAUGCCUUGUCUUAGUGUUCUCAAUUUGUCCUCUACGAAGAUCAAAAGUUUACCAAAUUCCAUCUCUGAACUAAAGAACCUCACAACAUUGUUGUUUUGUGGCUGUCGAGGAUUAAGAGAUCUGCCAAGUCUUUCGAUGCUUCAAGAAUUGAAGAAGUUGGAUCUAAGUCGGACUAAAAUUGAGGAAGUCCCUGAAGGAAUGGAUAUGCUGAUAAUGCUAAGAUAUCUUGAUCUUAGAGUGCGCACUCUGAAAGAGAUACCCGCUGGACUUAUAUCAAAACUCGUUCACCUUCAGCACUUGAGUUUUGAUGUGGACAGUGAAAAAACAAGUCUAAAAGCAGAGGAGAUGGAACCAUUGAAGAAGUUGGAGUACUUUACCGGACGUUUCGAAGACAUCAGUGAAUUCAAUAAGUUCAUCUCCUCAAUGCAACAAAGUAAAAAAAAUCUCAUCAACUACCAUUUACAGGUGGGCUCAGAUGAUGCGGGUGGUGCAAGAGAUAAAAGAGAUAAAAGAGUAACAAUUGCAGGAGUCCAGAAUUGGGAAGGUGAGUUAAUUAUGCACCCAAUUGAAAUUCAAGAGUUGUAUAUUUUAAAGUGCGACUAUUUGAGAAGCUUAGUCAAUGACAAUUCUUCCUUCAAAAAUGCGAUUGACUUGAGGGAUUGUAGGAUUCGGGGGUGUGAAGGGAUAGAGUGUGUUGUUUCCCUGUCCUUUUCUGCCUCUUCUUCCGCUCAUCCAUUUCAGAGCCUCCAGGUGUUGGAUCUUCAAUUUCUGCCAAAGUUGAGUGCCCUUAUUAUGAAAGAUGAAGGAAUUGGUUCAGCAACAACAUCAACAUUGGUUCCGUCUGCCACCUUUUCCCAUCUUAAGGAAAUUACGAUAUACAGCUGCUCAAGUAUGAAGACGUUGCUUCCACAUUGGUUGCUUCCAAACCUCCAAAACUUGGAAAAAAUACGCGUGGAGUAUUGUAGUCAGCUAGUAGAAAUAUUGGGAGCAGCAACAUCAGAAGUUGAAGAAAAAGGGAGUGAUGCAUUAAUCAAAUUCCAUCUUCCCAAAUUGAGGUAGUUGUUAUUCUGGGAUUUACCAAACUUGAAGAGCAUAUGCAGCAAAAGUGGAGUGAUGGUUUGUGAUUCUCUCCAACUUAUCCAAGUUGUUGGAGAUUGUGAUAAACUGAAGAGAAUUCCACCAUUUGUUCCCCUUGUUGGCAAUGGGCAGCCAUUUGCAUAUGCUCCACCUUCUCUUACCAUCUGGUCAUUGAAAAAAUGGUGGAAAUCGUUGGAGUGGGAUGACCAUCCAAACUUUAAAAAUGUUCUUCAACCCCUUUGGGAGCUUUUAAGAUGAUGUGGCCUCCAUUGGUGCGAAAGAAGUAGAAGAGAGUAGCAGGGCGGAUGAUGGUGCAAAAGAGAGGAUAAAAAAGGUGGGAAUAAAAGGAAUGAUGGAGCAUUGAGGAAUUGAGCAGCCACCAUAAUAAUCGACUCCUUUUCCAUUUUAAUAACAAAUAAUUUUAUUGUAUUUUUAUAUAAAACAAUUAAAUUAUAGACUUAUUUUAAUAUGGCGUAGAAUCAAAUAUUAUUAUGGUCUAUUAUUUAAAAAUCUUUAUAUGUUCUUAAAUGGAGAUGUUAUUUUUAAAA